GAUGAACGCUAGCUACAGGCUUAACACAUGCAAGUCGAGGGGUAACGACAGCGAAAGCUUGCUUUUGCUGGGCGUCGACCGGCGCACGGGUGAGUAACGCGUAUCCAACCUGCCCACCACUUGGGGAUAACCUUGCGAAAGUAAGACUAAUACCCAAUGACGUCUCUAGAAGACAUCUGAAAGGGAUUAAAGAUUUAUCGGUGAUGGAUGGGGAUGCGUCUGAUUAGCUUGUUGGCGGGGUAACGGCCCACCAAGGCGACGAUCAGUAGGGGUUCUGAGAGGAAGGUCCCCCACAUUGGAACUGAGACACGGUCCAAACUCCUACGGGAGGCAGCAGUGAGGAAUAUUGGUCAAUGGGCGAGAGCCUGAACCAGCCAAGUAGCGUGCAGGAUGACGGCCCUAUGGGUUGUAAACUGCUUUUAUAAGGGAAUAAAGUGAGAGUCGUGACUCUUUUUGCAUGUACCUUAUGAAUAAGGACCGGCUAAUUCCGUGCCAGCAGCCGCGGUAAUACGGAAGGUCCGGGCGUUAUCCGGAUUUAUUGGGUUUAAAGGGAGCGUAGGCCGGAGAUUAAGCGUGUUGUGAAAUGUAGACGCUCAACGUCUGCACUGCAGCGCGAACUGGUUUCCUUGAGUACGCACAAAGCGGGCGGAAUUCGUGGUGUAGCGGUGAAAUGCUUAGAUAUCACGAAGAACUCCGAUUGCGAAGGCAGCUCACUGGAGCGCAACUGACGCUGAAGCUCGAAAGUGCGGGUAUCGAACAGG
rnacentral:rRNA from 1 species